rnacentral:rRNA from 1 species
UACGUAGGCAGCAAGCGUUGUUCGGAGUUACUGGGCGUAAAGGGUGCGUAGGCGGCUUUUUAAGUUUGGUGUGAAAUCUCCCGGCUCAACUGGGAGGGUGCGCCGAAUACUGAGAGGCUAGAGUGUGGGAGAGGAAAGUGGAAUUCCUGGUGUAGCGGUGAAAUGCGUAGAUAUCAGGAGGAACACCGGUGGUGUAAACGCUUUCUGGACCAUAACUGACGCUGAUGCACGAAAGCGUGGGUAGCAAACAGG